UCAGCAUACUGUGGUGAAUACGUUCCCGGGCCUUGUACACACCGCCCGUCACACCAUGAGAGUUGAGAAUACCCGAAGCCCAUGUCAAAGUGGUCGAAGGUAGGCUUGAUGAUUGGGGUGAAGUCGUAACAAGGUACC
rnacentral:rRNA from 1 species